rnacentral:misc_RNA from 1 species
AUAUUUAAACAUGCAAUGGAGUUUCAUGUUAUUCUUCCAACCCCUCAGGGUUGAGUAAUGAAUGAAAUGCCUAAUUAAAAAAAAAAGAAAGGUGCUGACCCAUUGACGAACCAACUCAGUAAAUCUUAGGGAAGUGUUUUUAAGCUUAUAUGCUGCAAUAACAUGGAGUUUAGGGAUGGGGAUCAUUCGAUGAGAAUAGUUUCUACAAGUGCUUCAUCAUUUUGUUUUUGAACAGCUAUUUUCGCAG